AAUCAACGGCUCGCUGCAAUCCUCAACUCAAUCCAACGGCCACAAUGUCUACGCUUCAACGCGUUGAAGCCGCCUGCGCCCCGCAUCGCCCCGCCCCUCGGACGCCCGCGCCCCGCGUUCGAGUCCAAUUCCAAUUCCGCGCGGAAUCUGGCGUCGGUUCUUCUUCCUCCCGGCGGACGCCUUCCAGUUCCGGCGCCCCGCCUCCGGCUCCCCCGUAGCCCGCUCCUGCGCCGCCUCCGGCCGUGGCCGCCACCGGGACCACCGCAGCCGCCUCCUGCGCCGCCUCCGGGAGGGCCGCGGUGCCUCCUGCGCCAACUGCGGGCCACGCCUCCACCGAAACCCCCUCGCGAUCUGCUCCUGCUGCUCGUGUGCUCCGAUCUGAUCCGUUUCCCGAUCCGUCUGUGCGUGCAGGGAGCAGGCAAGUAGGCCGUGCUGAACAGCCUCAUCGGUCACCCGGUCCAGCCGACAGGGAAGAACGGGGCAACGCGGGCGCCGAUAGUGGUGGACCUGCAGAGGGAGCUGGGUCUCAGCAUCAAGUCCAUCGUGCUCAAGAUCGACAGCAAAUCGCAGCAGGUGUCCGCAAGUGCCCUCCGGCAUUCACUGCAGGACAGACUCAGCAAGGGGGCGUCUGGUUGAUCAGGGAGGGUCCGCGCUGAUGAGAUUUACCUCAAGCUGCAGACAAGUACACAUCUGUCUGCUACUAACGCCCGCGCCGCCACCGGAGGACUCCCUUUCUGAACCUUGCCGUUGUCCUGGUUACUUGGCGAGCAGGGGUUAGGAGUUCUUGUUGGCAUGACAUUACCCUUCCCUGGUGCAGCAAAAGAAUACACUUGAGAAGCAGACCAACUACAGACCUGCUGGAACCAUCUCAGCGUGACCUUCAGAUAUAAGAGAGAAUGGUGGAAAUGGUAUCCAUAUAGAAAACCUGACCGAUGAGUAUGUGUCAACAGUAGAAGAUGUGAAUCAGAUCUUGAUGAAGGUUUCAUUUUGGGUGGCUGGUUGGUGUAGUCUGAAGGAUCUGCAAGACGUCAGUUACCUCUACAGCAGCACAUAAGCAUGGAAAGCUCUUUUUUAUAUCCAGGUCAUGAAUUUCUUGCAACAGCUGAACAUGUCUAGGAUCUUUAAAAUGUGUAAGCAGAUCAUUGGCAUCUGCUUUAGUUUGCUCAUUGUUGCAAUUCAGUUUUGGUUGAUGUCACUAUGCUUAUUUCUGUUCUUACAAGUUGGCCGUAGCGUUAGCACCGGCCACUUACUAGUUACACCUAACGCAUCCA